CCCUACGCCCGACGCCCAGGCGGACGCGAGACGCGACGCAGGCAGGGACUGUGGCCUCCUCGCCCUCGGGCGACGCCCCCGCGGCGAGACGGCGCCCCCGGCUGCCCUGCCCCUGCAGACCAGCACCUCCUGCUGCUGCUGCACUGAAGGCCGGCGCCCUCUGCAACCCUGUUCGCUGCUCCUGAGAUUGAAGAACAAUUGAACUAUGAAGAGGAAUCGUAGAUCAGACAAGUAGUUUUUUUUCAUUUGAAUUAGUAUGUUUGAAGUAUUUGUAUUAUAAUUUAUGCAACUUUGGCAUUUAACUGUUGAAUUUAAAAUUUGGAAUGUAAUUUAUAUUUUUGGUAA